rnacentral:rRNA from 1 species
UACGUAGGGUGCAAGCAUUGUCCGGAUUUAUUGGGCGUAAAGAGCUCGUAGGCGGCUUGUCACGUCGGGUGUGAAACUCGGGGCUCAACCCGACGCCUGCACUCGAUACGGGCUAGCUAGAGUGUUGCAGGGGAGACUGGAAUUCCUGGUGUAGCGGUGAAAUGCGCAGAUAUCAGGAGGAACACCGGUAGCGGCAAGGCGGUCUCUGGGCCUACUGACACGUGAGGAGCGAAAGCGUGGGGAGCAACAGG